GGUAAAAUGGCUGAGCUAGGCAUUGAACUGUAAAUUCAAAGACAGAGAAUAACAUCUCUUUUUACCA
ensembl:Mt_tRNA